AGUUUAUGAAUUCCAAAAUUUAUUCAGUCCCGAGGAACCAGUCUGCCUGAGAGUACCGUGGAGCAAGAAACCUAAUGAAUCUGAUCAGUCUAGUAGUGGUAUUUCUUUGCAGCUGCCAUUUCUUCUGUCACCGGCACGCAGUGUUCUUGUUAUAAGGAGAUCCCAUUUAGUUAGGAGGUCCUCGUUGACCACCACUUCAAUGGCUUCUCUACUGGCCAGGUAGGAGUUUUUAAGGUUGUAAGAAGUGGGAGACAGAAAAGGUGUUACUAAAGUAUUAUGCUGGGCACUGGUGGCCAUCUGGACAGUUUGGAUUGUCAAGCCAACUGUCCCUGAACAACCCAUGCUGAUGUAGAUCCCUUCACGGGUCGGCAGUGACUCAGUUGGAGGAUAGCCAGGAGCGCUCUGCCUUUGGGUCUCCAGGUUUGCUGUUUGUAUGUGGCCUUAGAUACCGAAUGACUGUUCCCAGAGCACUCCCUCUGGACCAAAGUAAUUGGGGGAGGGAGGAGGGCAGAAGGUUUUCAGUUUUAUCCACACAUUUUUUUCUUUGUGAUACUCGCUUUCUCCACAAUCACUCAGCACUGGAUGUGAGCCUGAUUCCCUUGCCAGGACAAUUCCAAGGCUGGGGGCAAUCCUCUUAUGGGCUGAUGUCAUUGCAUGUGUUCUCAUUCAAAGACUGGAUUCUACGGAGACAUUCAACUAGUUCAACUUUUCAGCUCUCUCCCUUGGACAAUAAACGUAAAUGUCUGGUUCCUUUGUCAGUUUGGAUGCAUACUAUCGGUGCCAUGUUGACAAAUAAGAUGCUCAGAGGAGUUUCUGUUGAUGAGGCCCUGAAACUGAACAUGCUUUUGCUGAGAAUGGAUUGAACAUUUAUAUGCCCUUUUAACAGUGUUUUAACCAUGUUACCUUGGAUGAGGCAUGGUGAGGUCAGCCACAGAUCAAGAGCGAAUAUCUAGAGUUUUAUAGUUUUGUUACUCACAUUUUCCUGGGAAGAAAACAGCCUGCCAUGCAGGGCCUUCCAGGGGAAAUACCAGGAUUGGUCACGAAGCGGGAGAGAGGGGAACUGUGGGCAAAUGCCUUUAUUGUGAUUUCCAUGGGUAAGCGUGUAUAGAAUUAGCUACUUUGAAUAAUUUCAGCGUGCUCUGGGGUAUAGAGCCUGUCCUUGGGUAUUUGGUACCUCGUGUUGGAACAAUUAGGGCAGGUGUAUAGUGGCCUGGAGCGUGAGAGCCUCAUAUGGAACUUGGUUGGGGUGUGGACUUAAUUGAUGACACAAGGGAAACUAGCCCUUGGUAGUACUCUACCACAAGCUGGAGCCUCAAAACUGGGUCAAGACCGCAUUUUUAAAACUGUAUUACAAACAGACAUAGAGAAGUUAAGGUGUGUACCUUGCUGUUGUUUGUUUUGCUACUCACUUUCAGAUCCUUCACUUUUUUUGUGGACUAGAUGAUAAAGUAACGUGUUCGACAACUCAUUUAAUUUUCCUUCUGGCUAUAACAUCUUGGGAAAAUUGUGUUUUCCAACCUCCCUUAUAAUUAAGUUGGGCCAUUUGACUUAAUUCUGGCCAACAGAAUGUGGGUAGAAUUGAUACCACAUUCCCGUCUGAUCAUAAAACCCUUACCUUCCCCUUUCUCACUCCAUAGACAUUUGGAAACUAUGUAUUGAAAAUAACUGUGUUACACCAUAGAAGUUGCCUAGCUCCUAAGUUAAUAUGUAGCAGAAAAGACCCAUUUCCUGCACCUUAAACCCAGACUGCCCCACUGUCCCUGCUGAAUAACAUGAGAAACCAAUAAGUCUGUUUGAGAUUUAAGGAUUUAUCUGUUACAGAAGCUAUGGUUAGUUACGCGAACAAUAAUUAACUUGUCUGUG
rnacentral:lncRNA from 1 species